GGAGGGAUCUUCUACAAUGGGCGCAAGCCCGAUAGAGCAACGCCGCGUGGAGGACGACGGCCUUCGGGUUGUAAACUCCUUUCGGGGGGGAUGACACGGACAGUACCCCCAGAAGCAGCCCCGGCUAACUCUGUGCCAGCAGCCGCGGUAAUACAGCGGGGGCAAGCGUUGUCCGGAUUUACUGGGCGUACAGCGCGCGCAGGCGGUCGGCAAGGUGCCGUGUGACAACCGGGAGCUUAACUCCCGGAGGCCAGGGUAGACCGGUCGACUGGAGGCAGGGAGAGGGAGGUGGAAUACCCGGUGGAGCGGUGAAAUGCGUAGAGAUCGGGUGGAACACCAGCGGCGAAGGCGGCCUCCUGGCCCUGACCUGACGCUCAUGCACGAAAGCGUGGGGAGCAAAC
rnacentral:rRNA from 1 species